GAUGAACGCUAGCUACAGGCUUAACACAUGCAAGUCGAGGGACCGGCGCACGGGAGAGCAACACGUUUCCAACCUGCCCUUUACUCGGGGAUAGCCUUUCGAAAGCAAGAUUAAUACCCGACAUAAAUGAUGGCGAUGCGUUCCAUUAGGUUGUUGGUGAGGCAAUGGCUCCCCAGGCCAUCGAUGGCUAGGGGUUCUGUGAGGAACGUCCCCCACAUGGGAACUGGGACACGAUGCAAACGCGUACGGGAGGCAGCAGUUAGGAAUAUUGGUCAGUGGGCGCGAGCCUGAACCAGCCAAGUAGCGUGAAGGAUGAUCGCUUAUAGAUCGUAAACUUCUUUUAUAUAGGAAUAGGUAUUAUAUGAGUAAGGAUCGGCUAACUCCGUGCCAGCAGCCGCGGUAAUAC
rnacentral:rRNA from 1 species